rnacentral:rRNA from 1 species
CCCUUAGCUGUUCUGGGCUGCACGCGUGUUACAAUCGGGAGUACAACAAGAUUGCAAAUCCUAGUGGAUGAGUGGUUCUUCGAAAUUUUCUGAAGACUGGGAUAGUUGAUUGAAAUUAUUCAACUCAAACGAGGAAUUCCUUGUAAUUGUAAUUCAUUAUAUUGUAAUGAAUACGUCCCUGCCCUUUGUACACACCGCCCGUCGCUCCUACCGAUUGAACGAUCCGGUGAAUUAUUUGGAGUAGCUCUGGAAGUUGCAGAACUUCCUAUGUCACGAAAUUUUGUAAACCUUAUCGUUUAGAGGAAGGAAAAGUCGUAACA